CCCAUAACAACUCGGCCUAUAACAUACAAUCGGCCUCACAAAAUCGGACUAUAAUUUUUGUAUACGACCGCAAAAAAAUUUUGUGGUCGUAUAUUGGUAUGACGUUGGCGUCGUCGUCGUCCGAAGACACAUUGGUUUUCGCACUCUAACUUUAGUUUAAGUUAAUGGAUCUCUAUGAAAUUUUACCAUAAGGUUCAAUACCACAAAAGGAAGGUUGGGAUUGAUUUUGGGGGUUAUGGUACCAACAGUUAAGGAAUUAGGGGCCAAAAAGGGGCCAAAAAUGAGCAUUUUCUAGUUUCCAGACAAUAACUGUGGAACGGUGUAUGGAUCUCUCUGAAAUUAUACUACAAGUUUCCAUACCACAAAGGGAUGGUUAGGAUUUGCUUUGGGGGGUUAUGGCUCAAACCGUUUAGGAAUUAGGGGCAAAAAAGGGGGAAAAACAAGGUUGUCCUGGUUAAUGGACAAAUACUUUAGUACAAAACAUAAUUUAAAGCAGUGUAAGGGAGAUAAAUCAAAUACAUCAUUGAAAUUAUCUCCCUUACACUGCUUUUAAAUUAUGUAUAAAGUAAUGGUUAAUGAACAAUAAAGAUAAUCUAAAACAGUGUAAGGGAGGUAAUCCAAAUACAACGUUUUGGUUACUUCCCUUACACUGCUUUUAAAUUAUGUUUAAAGAAAUGCAUAUUUAUAAAGGAAGACCAGUAAAAAUAUCUGCAAAUGUUUUCAUCUUUUU